rnacentral:rRNA from 1 species
CCUACGGGAGGCUGCAGUGAGGAAUAUUGGUCAAUGGCCGGAAGGCUGAACCAGCCAAGCCGCGUGAAGGACGAAGGUGCCAAGCAUUGUAAACUUCUUUUGUCAAGGGACAAAAUCAGGCUCGAGAGCCUGACCGAGGGUACUUGAAGAAAAAGCAUCGGCUAACUCCGUGCCAGCAGCCGCGGUAAUACGGAGGAUGCGAGCGUUAUCCGGAUUUAUUGGGUUUAAAGGGUGCGUAGGCGGGCUGUGAAGUCAGCGGUAAAAGCCCGGGGCUCAACCCCGGCGAGCCGUUGAAACUGGCGGUCUUGAGAGGGCGAGAGGUAUGCGGAAUGCGCGGGGUAGCGGUGAAAUGCUUAGAUAUUGCGCAGAACUCCGAGUGCGAAGGCAGCAUACCGGCGGCGAUCUGACGCUGAGGCACGAAAGCGUGGGUAUCGAACAGGAUUAGAUACCCUUGUAGUG